UACAGAGGGUGCGAGCGUUAAUCGGAAUUACUGGGCGUAAAGCGUGCGUAGGCGGUCACGUAAGUCGGAUGUGAAAGCCCCGGGCUCAACCUGGGAAUUGCAUUCGAGACUGCAUGGCUUGGGUGCGGAAGAGGGAAGCGGAAUUUCCGGUGUAGCGGUGAAAUGCGUAGAUAUCGGAAGGAACACCAGUGGCGAAAGCGGCUUCCUGGUCCGACACCGACGUUCAGGCACGAAAGCGUGGGGAGCAAACAGG
rnacentral:rRNA from 1 species